rnacentral:rRNA from 1 species
UACGUAGGUGGCAAGCGUUGUCCGGAUUUAUUGGGUUUAAAGGGUGCGUAGGCGGCAUUUUAAGUCAGUGGUGAAAUACUUCAGCUUAACUGGAGAGGUGCCAUUGAUACUGGGAUGCUUGAGUACUGAUGAGGUAGGCGGAAUGGACGGUGUAGCGGUGAAAUGCUUAGAUAUCGUCCAGAACACCGAUAGCGAAGGCAGCUUACUAAGGAGUAACUGACGCUGAGGCACGAAAGCCAGGGGAGCAAACGGG